UAACAUAAACUUUCUGAUUAAAAUUACAGAUACGCAUGUACAAAUAUAGAGGUGAGAAAAGAUAUAUCUGUGCUGUGUAUUAUUUUAUAUACAUAAGAUUGGCAAUUCGAGAUAACCAAGCUUAAAAUAAAGUCCCAUUUUUGGCCAAGUAGACUUGCAUGCCAACACAAAGACAUUAUGGUAUUAAAACCAUAUGCAAUUCUAGCCAUAUUUUUCUCUUUUCUCUUCAUGGGUAUUGCAUGAUGGUAUUUCUAAUACAAAUACUAAUAUGCUUUGGAAAUAAUGGCACUCGCAGGUCUUUCAUCAUAUUGUAUCACUGCUUUAUCAUAUUAGGCUAAUACACUGCGAGAGUUGGUAGAACCUCUCCAUGCCAAAUCGGAUCCACUUCUGUUGGCACUCAACCCAUUGGACUCACAGAUUGAUAAGCUAAUGUUUAGAGAAUUUAGAUCGGAGAGAGUCGGCACGACGCAGACUUAACAUCAACCUCUUGCAAGCAACUAAAAUGGCCUCGACCUUGCUGUUUAUAACAGAAAACAGACUUUUAAAAGCUUAGAUCAUCAAGUGUUUUGGAUUGGGGGCCUCCCUAAAGGGAUAUUAAGAGGGGCAGGCCACUCUUAAGAAGAAUGCAAGCUUUCUUCACUGGGACUAGCAUAAGAUCAAAGCCAGUCAAGAUGGAGCACAGUGACAGAAAACUGCUGUUUCUGUGGGUGAACAGAGGCAAAGGGUACUGACUGGGGAAGGGCUCAGUUGUGUUCUCCUGUCACAGGAAAGGAGAGGGAUCAGCUCCAAUAACUAGAAAACCCUGGCUGUUCAAUGGACUCUUAAGUGGCCUCUUGAAGGCAAAGCAGAGAAAGCGAAUUCUGUGUGUUAAGUGUAUUUUUGCAUUUUUAAAAUUUGACGUGCUGUAUUGUACUACAUUAAGUGUAAUCUAUUAAGGCAAGGUAUCUACAACCUGCUCUGAAACUUACUAUGUUUAUUCUAUUAUAAAGUGUAUUCAGGUGCAACACAGAGACUGCUUUCAGUGGCACUAAUGAAGAAAAUGCCACAUGCCAGGCUUUAGUAGAUUCCUCAGCUAAAAUCCUAACUUUCUCCUUACUUCUUGGCACUUGUAUACAAAUGGUGUUGCCUCAUAGGACAGGCAUGAGCUAUUCUUUUCUGUAAAAUUUUCCAAAUCUAUAGGCUGUGGUUUUCACUUUGGAAAAAGUAUUUUGUCUGGUUGUCUUUCAAAAUAGUUUCAGAUAUUAUUUAAUACUAUGUAACUGGGUCCCUUAUGGCUCAAUAUUGCUUAUUUUUCUUCUGUAGUGGAUGUGAAAUUUCCUUUAUUUAGUUGGAUAAGAUACUCUGUAAUAAUUUUAAUGCUAAUUAAUGGAUAUUUCAUACUGUGCAAUGAACAGAUAAUUUAACAUUGUAUUUGGAAAUGUUUUUUUUUCUUCCUGUCGCCGCAGUGUGUGGUAUUGCAUAAUGUGAAUACUUG
rnacentral:lncRNA from 1 species